rnacentral:rRNA from 1 species
UGCAGUCGAGCGACAGACAAGGAGCUUGCUCCUUUGACGUUAGCGGCGGACGGGUGAGUAACACGUGGGUAACCUACCUAUAAGACUGGGAUAACUUCGGGAAACCGGAGCUAAUACCGGAUAAUAUUUCGAACCGCAUGGUUCGAUAGUGAAAGAUGGUUUUGCUAUCACUUAUAGAUGGACCCGCGCCGUAUUAGCUAGUUGGUAAGGUAACGGCUUACCAAGGCGACGAUACGUAGCCGACCUGAGAGGGUGAUCGGCCACACUGGAACUGAGACACGGUCCAGACUCCUACGGGAGGCAGCAGUAGGGAAUCUUCCGCAAUGGGCGAAAGCCUGACGGAGCAACGCCGCGUGAGUGAUGAAGGUCUUCGGAUCGUAAAACUCUGUUAUUAGGGAAGAACAUACGUGUAAGUAACUAUGCACGUCUUGACGGUACCUAAUCAGAAAAGCCACGGCUAACUACGUGCCAGCAGCCCGCGGUAAUACGUAGGUGGCAAGCGUUAUCCCGGAAUUAUUGGGGCGUAAAGCGCGCGUACCCGCCUUUUUUA